rnacentral:rRNA from 1 species
CGUAUCACUUAAAGCGAUUCAGCGGGUUACGAUUGACGGAGCGAAGCGACGUCAAAGCGUAUACAAAGUCGAGUCGGUUUAAGGAUACGUUCGUUGGGUAGGGGAGCGUUCUGUAAGCCUGUGAAGGUGUGUCGUGAGGCAUGCUGGAGGUAUCAGAAGUGCGAAUGCUGACAUAAGUAACGAUAAAGCGGGUGAAAAGCCCGCUCGCCGGAAGACCAAGGGUUCCUGUCCAACGUUAAUCGGGGCAGGGUGAGUCGACCCCUAAGGCGAGGCCGAAAGGCGUAGUCGAUGGGAAACGGGUUAAUAUUCCCGUACUUGGUGUUACUGCGAAGGGGGGACGGAGAAGGCUAUGUUGGCCGGGCGACGGUUGUCCCGGUUUAAGCGUGUAGGUGUGUGUUCCAGGUAAAUCCGGUUCACUUUAACACUGAGGCGUGAUGACGAGGCACUACGGUGCUGAAGCAACAAAUGCCCUGCUUCCAGGAAAAGCCUCUAAGCAUCAGGUAACAUCAAAUCGUACCCCAAACCGACACAGGUGGUCAGGUAGAGAAUACCAAGGCGCUUGAGAGAACUCGGGUGAAGGAACUAGGCAAAAUGGUGCCGUAACU